rnacentral:rRNA from 1 species
CCAAUAGCGUAUAUUAAAGUUGUUGCAGUUAAAAAGCUCGUAGUUGAAUUUCGGGAUCAAUAUGUCGGUCGUGCCUUCGGUACGUACUGGUAUCAUUGGUUUCUCCUUUCUGACGAACCAUGAUGUCAUUAAUUUGGUGUUAUGGGGAGUUAGGACUGUUACUUUGAAAAAAUUAGAGGGUUUAAAGCAGGCUUAAGCUUGAAUACAUUAGCAUGGAAUAAUGAAAUAGGACGUUCGAACCUAUUUUGUUGGUUUCUAGGAUCAACGUAAUGAUUAAUAGGGAUAGUUGGGGGCAUUAGUAUUCAACUGUCAGAGGUGAAAUUCUUGGAUUUAUUGAAGACUAACUACUGCGAAAGCAUUUGCCAAGGAUGUUUUCAUUAAUCAAGAACGAAAGUUAGGGGAUCGAAGUCGAUCAGAUACCGUCGUAGUCUUAACCAUAAACUAUGCCGACUAGGGAUCGGAUGAUGUUAAUUUUUUAAUGACUCAUUCGGCGCCUUACG